rnacentral:rRNA from 1 species
AGUGAACGCUGGCGGUAGGCCUAACACAUGCAAGUCGAACGGCAGCACAGUAAGAGCUUGCUCUUACGGGUGGCGAGUGGCGGACGGGUGAGGAAUACAUCGGAAUCUACUUUUUCGUGGGGGAUAACGUAGGGAAACUUACGCUAAUACCGCCUACGACCUACGGGUGAAAGCAGGGGAUCUUCGGACCUUGCGCGAUUGAAUGAGCCGAUGUCGGAUUAGCUAGUUGGGGGGGUAAAGGCCCACCAAGGCGACGAUCCGUAGCUGGUCUGAGAGGAUGAUCAGCCACACUGGAACUGAGACACGGUCCAGACUCCUACGGGAGGCAGCAGUGGGGAAUAUUGGACAAGGGGCGCAAGCCUGAUCCAGCCAUACCGCGUGGGUGAAGAAGGCCUUCGGGUUGUAAAGCCCUUUUGUUGGGAAAGAAAAGCAGCAGGUUAAUACCCCGCUGUUCUGACGGUACCCAAAGAAUAAGCACCGGCUAACUUCGUG